rnacentral:tRNA from 1 species
GGACGAGUAGCUCAGCUGGGAGAGCAUCUGCUUGACGUGUAGGAGGUCGCAGGUUCGAGCCCUGUCUCGUCCA